ensembl:ncRNA Y51A2D.26 ncRNA
ACUAGAAAUGCGUCAAGGCACUAGAAUUGCGCCAAGGCACUAGAAAUGCGCCAAGGAACUAGAAUUGCGCCAAGGCACU